CCUACGGGUGGCAGCAGUGAGGAAUAUUUGUCAAUGGACGCGAGCCUGAACCAGCCAAGUAGCGUGAAGGAUGACUGCCCUACGGGUUGUAAACUUCUUUUAUAAAUGAAUAAAUUGAGGCACGUGUGCCUUUUUUUAUGUACUUUAUGAAUAAGGAUCGGCUAACUCCGUGCCAGCAGCCGCGGUAAUACGGAGGAUCCGAGCGUUAUCCGGAUUUAUUGGGUUUAAAGCGCUCGUAGGAGGUAUGUCAAGUCAAGGGUGAAAUCCCCGCGCUCAACGUUGGAACUGCCUUUGAAACUGGCAAACUUGAGUGUGUGAGAGGAUAGUGGAAUUCCAGGUGUAGGAGUGAAAUCCGUAGAUAUCUGGAGGAACAUCAGUGGCGAAGGCGACUAUCUGGCACAUAACUGACGCUGAGGAGCGAAAGCGUGGGUAGCAAACAGGAUUAGAUACCCUGGUAGUC
rnacentral:rRNA from 1 species